rnacentral:rRNA from 1 species
UACAGAGACCUCAAGCGUUAUCCGGAAUCAUUGGGCGUAAAGCGUACCGAUAGGUGGUUUAGAAAGUUUUGGGUAAAAGCCAGAAGCUCAACUUCUGAGUUUGCUCAAAAUACUUCUCAACUAGAGGGGCAAAGAGGAAGCUGGAACGAACGGUGUAGUAGUGAAAUGCGUUGAUAUCGUUCGGAACACCAAUAGCGUAGGCAGGCUUCUGGGUGCCACCUGACACUGCUAGGACGAAAGCGUGGGGAGCGAAUGGG